rnacentral:rRNA from 1 species
GAGUUUGAUCCUGGCUCAGAGCGAACGCUGGCGGCGUACUUAACACAUGCAAGUCGAACGGGGAUCAUUGUGUGAGCAAUCAUGUGAUGGUCCUAGUGGCGCACGGGUGAGUAACACGUGGGUAACCUGCCCUCGAGACCGGGAUACCCCUUCGAAAGGGGGGCUAAUACCGGAUACGUUCCCUGGGUCGAAAGAUCUGAGGAAGAAAGGUGGCGCAAGCUGCCGCUCUUGGAGGGGCUCGCGGCCUAUCAGCUAGUUGGCGGGGUAACGGCCCACCAAGGCUAUGACGGGUAGCUGGUCUGAGAGGACGACCAGCCACACGGGGACUGAGACACGGCCCCGACUCCUACGGGAGGCAGCAGUGGGGAAUUUUCCGCAAUGGGCGAAAGCCUGACGGAGUGACGCCGCGUGUGGGAUGAAGGCCUUC